rnacentral:lncRNA from 1 species
UCACCUAUACAGAAAUGAAAAGACUGAGAAGCACGGCUGUUUCAUUAGCAGUAAAUGACAUGAGAGGCAACACUGCGAGACCAUAA